UAUCCAUAAGGGUUUAGCUUCUUUAUUGUGAUUGCUUUGUUUUUAAUUAUGAAUGGAAACUAGGCAACAGCAACUUGGAUGCGGGCUUGUUCACAUUUGGGAGUACUUAAGACAGAGGAGCAGGAGUUUCAGUGUGCUCAAUAGGAAGCUCAAUAAGAGGCAAGAGAGUUUAGGGAGUGCUGUGGAGAUUUGCCACUGGAAUUCGGAGAGCAGGAAGGUUGGUGCUUUCAAAUGA